AGAUGCGCCAGGUACGAGGGCGGGUACCAGAGGAGCUGCGGGAGCGAGAGAAAUUGAGAGGCUGACUGAGCGACUAGAAGAAAAAGAGAGGGAGAUGCAGCAGCUGCUGAGCCAGCCCCAACACGAGCGAGAGAAGGAAGUCGUCCUGCUACGGAGGAGCAUGGCAGAAGGGGAGCGCGCCCGGGCCGCCAGUGACGUCCUGUGCCGCUCCUUGGCCAACGAGACCCAUCAGCUGCGGAGGACGCUGACCGCCACCGCCCAUAUGUGUCAGCAUCUGGCCAAGUGUCUGGAUGAACGACAGCAUGCACAAAGGAAUGUGGGGGAGAGAAGUCCUGACCAGUCGGAACACACAGAUGGGCACACCUCUGUCCAGAGUGUUAUUGAGAAGUUGCAGGAAGAAAAUCGACUGUUAAAACAGAAGGUGACUCACGUGAGUGUCUUUCACAUUUCGUUUGAGAAGAACACACGGCUUACAAACUGUAAGUGAGGGUUCUUUCCUUGGCUGAUGCCCAGAGUCGCUCCCCGCCCUCUGGCCACUAG
rnacentral:sRNA from 1 species